CCAUUGUCACAUCAUGCUAUGAAUGCAUCUUGUUGCUGUGGAGUUGAAUGAAAAAACCCUUUUACCAGUCGUUUUUGAAAUAUAGCAAGUAAUAACCUCGAGACUAAAUGAAAAACACAGGCUUCUAAUGAUAGUUGUUAACAAAAAUGUCCAUGUUCAAGAUUAAAAGGCCCUAAUAGUUGCCUAUUUUGGUAUUAUUGUGGAAAACUUACCAAUUUACCUAAAAAGGGUCUAUUUAACAAUGGAUUUACUUUUCUCUUUAGAUACUGUACCGAACUAGAUUCCCUGGUCACAUCAAUUCACCUAUACCCAAUGUGCUAACACAAAUUGUAAGAAAACAAUCACCCUCGCUUUAAGCCAAUAAUCAUUACAACAACACUGAUGCUCUACACCAGGGGUGCUCAAUACGUCGAUCGCGAUCUACCAGUCGAUCUCCAAGGUACUAUUGGUAGAUCGCAUGACAAGGUGAGGUGACAUUGUCAUGAACUGACGCUAUACAAAUAAAGUUGAGUUGUUUUGAAUAAAAAAACUAGACGUCAGCCUAUCAGCCAUCCCGUCACUUGAUUGAUACACAGGACAACCAGUCAGAUGACAUCUGAUUUUUUCCCCCGUACAAUUAGGUCACUGUGCGUGUUCAAACAACGCCCCUGAGCGCUGCAAAGCUAACAAGCUAGUCGUUAGUUACAUCCUAAUUUUUCGCUCGUUUUUUUCCUCUUAAACGUAAGAUAGGGUAUAAAAAUGAGUGGGGGAGCUGGACCAAGUAAAAAGAAAAAAACCUAUCACUUUCAUACGGAAUGGGAGGAGGACUUUUUUUUCACGAUGACAUUUUCAAAGUGCGUUUGUCUCGUCUGCCAGUCUACCGUCGCAAUAUCAAAGAAGGGAAAUGUUGUAAGUUGUAAGAAUCCUCAAUAUAUUUCUCAAUAAAUAUAAUGGGUAGAUCAUUUUGACUUGGUCAUUUCAAAAGUAGCUCCCAUGCUGAAAAAGUGUGAGCACCCCUGCUCUACACAAUCAUAACUUGUUAACUAAAACUAACAACUAAAUGUAGUAAAUAUUAAGGAAAUGUGCAGGGAACUCAUUCAUUAUUUUCCUGUCCUGGAAGAAUGGCGCCUUAGCAAGGUCAGUGGAGAUCAAGAGCCCACCCGAUCCACCCUUUUUUCCAGGGUAGGAGUGGAGUUAUGCCACUGGCUGGACAGAAGUGUCAAUUAUAGAAAUAUGUAUUAAAAUGUACCAUUUUUUCGAUGCUCCGAAAAAUGUCUUACGGUCAGCUUUUAAUAAACACAGUCACCAGGAAGGUUAAAGAAGUUAUUAAAACUAGUGGUGCAGUUCUGAUCAGGUUCUGUUCUGUGCUGUAGCAAAUAUAUUUUUAGCUUGGCACAAUUUCAUGUGUUCAGUCACUUGCCUGUGCUGCAGUCUUUGGGUAAGUUUACUGAUUGAAAACGGUAGUAUCAAUGGCGUUGCAGAAGUAAAUUGGGCACAAAGUAAAUCUAACAUGCAAUCGGCUGAUAAUGCAUUAUAUUGCAUUCGGUUACAGCUUUUAUUGUAAUCAACGCAUUUGAUACGGAGCAGAGUUCCUAUAAUUAUCUUUAGUUUCCAAACUAAGCAAUGCACGUGUUUCGUCAAAAGUCAUUGAUUGCCUGUUUUACAUAUUUCAAUUCUUGUUAAAAGAAUUUACAUGAACAUCUGGUGUGAAAAGCAAUGCAUUAUAAGCUUGUUUAGUGAAUUAUCAUGAACUUAGUUUAUUGUUUGUUUAUCAUGCACAUGUAGGGAAUUAAUUUCAAUGAUCAAUUGAGGACUACAGCAAAACAUUACUUUUCUCUUUGGCAAUCAACCAGUGUGAAUCGACGCACUCAUUAAGGCCAGCAUUGCAAUUGCUUGGUCGUGUUUCACUUUGAUUUAUUUUCAUCAAUAAAUCACUGUUGUUUGAUUAUAUCGUGUCGGUUGGUCUCAAGUGAUGAGAUGCGGCUGCAUGGCAUACUCGAAAAAGUAAUCGCGAGCAGAUGAGUGUUGUUCGCCGUCUGUAUUCAAAAGCUACAAUGUCACUUUUGCUGUGAACAUACUGUAUGGUGAGCUGCAAUAAUUGGCCUAGCUGGGCAUAUUUGACAGCUUCAACAAAAGCAAAAUAAAAUAAUUCUGAAAACGCUUUUGCCCACCAGUUGUUUUGGAAAAGGCCACUUGAGGAACAUAAAGAGCUGCAGGGAAUGUUUCUUGCAGGCAGAGUUUCUUUUGUGUUGUAUCAAUUUCUUAUGGCUGGCUGUUUUUACCCUACUCUGGUGAUGCAUAAAGCCCCCAAAACAUCCCUUAAGAAGCCAACCUCAAGGGUUUUUAACAUCGAGUGGCAAGUCGAUUGCUGUGGGAGUUUACAGUUCAUGCCUUUCCUUAAUUUAAGAAGGAUGUGUAAUUGACCCUUUUUUAGUGCAAAUUCUAUUUUGUAAUACAUUACUAGGGAAAUAUUUGUACAUGCUGCAUAGCAGCAUUUCUCAAAAUGUCCCAUAGACACAUGAAAACACUAAAAAGACCACAAUCUGACUGUUCUAAUUUAUGCUUAGUGGUCCACUGAAAACCAAAUUAAGUUUUUGUUUACGAAAACGUUAAAUUGAAUAUAGAUGAAUCGCCUUAAUUCAUCUAAAAAAAAUGAUUGAGCUUUCCGUAGAGAAAAGGAAAAAGGAGUUAAGAUUUGCCUUUAAAUCAUUUUCGAGGCUCAACCUGUCGAGCAUGUCUUUCAUAUACUCAUUAAUGGAGGAAGCUACCGGAUGGAUUGUUGUGUUGUUCAGAAUAUUACUGUCACGGUGUGGUUUUAUUUCCUGUCUUAUUUUGUAGUUUUCUGCCUCUUGUCUCCCUGGGUAACGUCACUUCCUCCCUUGUCCUGUCGUCCCCUGUGAUUGUCUGAUUGUUUCCACCUGUGUCCAAUCACCUGCACCGUCCCAGUGUAUUUAAGUCAUGUGUGUCAUGUGUGUCCCUGGUUCCUGUGCGAGUUUUUUGCCCCUUGGCCUUUUUGCUUGUUGCUUUUUUGCUUUUAACUAUUAAAGUCUUUUGUUCUCGAAGUCUGAGUUUGAGUCCUGCCUUCCACGCCCAACCCUGACAAUUACUGUAUGUGAGUCGGCUUUCCCUGAUUAGGAUAUAAUAUGCUGUUUAUUUUAGAGAAUCUCUUCCUUCAUACUAAUUAUUCAAACAAAUCUUCCUCUAGAAUGAACAGUAUAAUACUGUAUUCAUUUUUUUUUCUUAAAUGAAGAUCUAGGGAUUCUUUCAGCGGCGCAAAGCAACUGAAGUCAUUGUUCAGAGCAUUGAACUGACGGUAUCAAGCUUAGGCUAACUAAGUAAUGUAAUAUUGAUGAUAGGCAAUUACCCAUAAUGGUAUACAGCACUUUCUGGGGUUUCUCUCCUAUUAGCUACUUUAGUGGGAAAGCUUAGUUGUCUUCCCAGUAACAGAUACAGUUAGUCAUAAAGUUGGUUAACAGAUUUCAGAUCUACUUGAUAUUCUCAUCAUGGAGAGGUAUUAAUAAUAGACAAUGUUUUAUUUUGUCUUAGCUGGCCUUUUCACACCGAAAACAGGCCGCCAACCAAGCCAUUGUUUCUUUUACUUUCCAACCACUUUUCCUUUAACUGCAUAAACAUCAUAUGAGGCCAAGGAAACCUGUAAAGCCAUAUUCAUUUUGGGAUUUGUAAAGUUAUAUCCGCAGGGACCUUCUGCCUGUCGGAAAUACUUUUGAAACAAAUCUUUAUUCAUCAUGAUGAAGUACAUAGCAAAUGACACAAAACAAAACAUUACUAAAGUCCCUAAACUAACAUAUACAAUAUAAAAAAACUAUUUACAAUCAAUUAAAACAAAUUGAAAUGGUCUUAUCCAUUAAAAUAGUACUAAAUAUAAAAAGGAUAUAAAGAAAGGUAACAAUUAUGCAAUGUAUCUAUUAUUUACACAUAAGGCAAAGAAUAGUCAGAAUGGUAUUCUAUUAAGAAACUGAACUUAUAAUAAUUCCAAAAACAUGGAGCUUUUUUACAUUUUUCCGCAUGACAGAAAUAUCCAAAAUAUUUAUUAGAGGUGUGAACAUUUCUCACUUCUAAGAUGCCCUACAUUGCAAACAUUUACUACUGUGUAUCGCUGCAAUGAAAAUAUUCAGGAGUUGGGUUUACUUCGACUCAGUCCGAGUCUUAAGUGUGUUUUGCUGUCAUUUACGGUCCGUCACGCACGUUACUCUCUUCUCUAGCUCCUCUGAUGUCUGCUUCCACCGUGAGUGGAGUUUGCACACCGUCCCUGUGCCAGGAACUGAGAGACGGCCCUCGGCAGUCCAUUUGCUUGUUGCUUCAAGGUACCAAUAUUAGCAUCUCCGAUUCAACAACGUGGGGCGAAAAUGAAAAAAGUGCAUGCAGGCUGGAAUUCAACCGUGGUGUUAUUAAUCUUUUCAAUAGACGCGGUGACUUGAACCGGGUAAGAGUAGAAUUGCUAUGAGUGUAAAAUCUUCAUUUCAGCUGAAAAAAAAGAAGCACGUGCUAGUUUAGAAAAUUAGGGAUGCCACACAGUCCCAUUAAGAAUGAGUAUUCAGAUCUUAAGUAUUCAUAUACUUAUAGACGUCUACAUCUAACAAGUUUUCACAUGUUCUAAUACAUUAGAAUAUAGAUAAGAUUUCAAGAAUUCAAUUCAAUGCAGGGCGGUUGAAUUAAACUAGAUUUUUUUUAGCAACAAGGUAUUUUUUGUGGUUGUCAUCAAUUGAAUAUCCUCUUUUUCAUUAAAUAACUCCUAAAAAAGUUUUCGCAAAAACUAGGCAAUGAAAAUUAAAUUAUUUAUAAUAUUGAAAAGUGGAGCAAAACAGAAGUUAUUGCUGGAGGCAUUACCUGAUGUGGGAGCAGGAUUUUUCGGGAUACUGUAGCAUCUCGGGUGUAGUGCUACAAUACCAUACAUCUCCUCAAAGUUGAUGAGAUCUGUUAAUCAGUUCAACUGGCCAUUUGUACACAGUGUGGUUUCUUCUUUUCAUUUCUGCUCUCGACUUUGGUUACUCAGUUUAGUAUGAAGGGUACGUGGGUCAACGACUGUGUCUCCCACAGUAAGGGGAGGUUACAACUGUGAGUCUCAGAUAGCUUUCUGCCACCAGAACUAUCGGAUAAGUGGGCUGAGCUGGAGUGCAUGGAAGUAAUCUUCUUUUGAGGUGGGAUGGUUGUGAUGAGUCAAAGUGAGCAAAUGGAAAUAUGUUAUGGCUGCGAUGAAUAGCUUCGUCAGCCUCAGUGAGUGACCUUGAACCUCACUCAGUAAGUAUAAAGAGGUAGGCUCUAUCAUUAGUACAUUCACUUCCCUUCCAUUGAAAUAUGUUGUCUCCUAAUCACACAAUUAUCUCUGCCCAACAUUUUCUACAGGCCUGCGUUUCCCGACUGUUUAAAUUCACACACUGUACACUGCAAAUUCAAAAAAAUGGACAAAGGGGCUGACAAGUGAACACAUGUACAAUUCCCAGUAACAAAAGCCUUCAAUAAGUGUCGACCAACCCGACAACCACAGAUGAUGACAGGUAAAAAGUGAUAUGGCAUCGAGCAAUACAUUUGAUGGAUUCACUGUUCAUCAGACAACAAAUGAGACAAGGAUUACAAUCUGUGUCUCCACCGCAUUCCCCGCCUGAGGGACACUACUUUAAAGGGCGGAGAUUGAUGGAUGGUCAUAACAUGGUAGAAUUAGCAGAGGGAUAUAAGAUACCCAACCAUCCAAAUGUGCUGUGACUAUAUUUCUACACGGCAGUUACUGAACAAGUAAAGACAACAAACAGUUGUGUUUGGGAGAGGCAAGAAGAGGCGGUUUGGUUGAAGGGAAUUAGCAUUCCCCAUAUUUCAUGACGUAGAUUGGUCCCAAAUGGUCAACUCAAUCUUAGAAUUAACAUUGUGAAACUCAGAUUUUAGAGAAUUUAGAGGGACGUGUAAUCAUGGGUGACUGUAUAAGAGGAAGUCUUGCAAAUGUAAAUGUUGUAUAGAAAGUGUUGAUUGUUAAUUCUCAAUGUUUCCUGAAGGCAACCUGGUUGAAGAUGGCUUUCAGUGUUCUUCUUUAACCUGUCACUCAUCAUUACGCGCCCUUCUCAGUUGAUGCCCCUGUUUAAGUUAUUUACUAAGCUAACCUUUUGCCCUGGAUUUGGCUGCAUACUAUUGGACAUUGUAUUAAUACCGGUGCAUGUACGGCAGGAAAUGUUUUUGAAAUCUGAAAAUAAUAAAGCGCUAAAAGGCUAAAUGCAGCUCUGUGAAAAACCCACUUAGAUGGAGUGUUGCCAGCAUGGAUAUGGGAAUAUAAUGGGGGGCUUGGAUGUGGAAUGUGUAAACCUCAAAAAAACAAAAGAAUAGACUUUAAAAAAACGUGUCAAUAUAUUAUUUUAACAAAUCUAGGUUUUCUGCCAUUUAUAAUGAAUAAAUCCGUCAGUGAAACUUACAGAAAAGAGUUUGACAGAUAAAACUCGAAAUUUGAGAAAGAAAGGAAAAGUUAGAAGUAGCUAAAGUAAUUGCUUGUCAAUAUUAAAUAUUGAUAUUUCACUAACUUCAGGGUGCUAAAAUGGCUGGAAAAUGCGCUUCGCUUGUACCACGUUCUAUAGUGCAAGAAUUCAUUCGUGGCAACCAAACAUUAAACUGUCAGAUUACAACAAUAACCAAGAAAACGUAGGCCCUCCCAACAUUAAAAGCUAUCGAUUCAAAAAAGCUGUCGCUUUCAAAGAAAAAUUGCCUCAGCAAUUGAUCCAUCACAGUGCGAUCCGGUACAGCUGAGAGAUGUUUAAGGAUGUGGCUUCCUCUCAUAGCGACUGCCAUGCCGCUACGAUCACUCAUGAGUGUUCAAGUGUCAACAUGGAUUGAGGUAGUACAAAGAAAUAUUGAAGGAUCAUCUGUCUUGAUCAAAAUCAUUAUUCAUUUAUUUUAUUCCAACAUAUAACUAUUGAAAAUAAAAAUCAAACAUUAUUGAUUACGCUAUAAAAGGAUGUUACCUAUUUGUCGAUGUAUACAACUUUAGUUGAGCAGUGACUAAAUCAAUCAACAGUAAAUUGAUUAGUUGCAAAGAAAUGCAAUGAGUUGGGUAUUUUUCUAAGUGACAGACAGACAUCGCAGUUCCGGCUUCUCAACUGUGGGUGUUUAAUGCUUGUUAUUUUGUCAUUACUGUGAACUGGAUAUCUUUGAAUUUGGAUGGAUGGUUGAACAAAACAGAUGAAAACUGUGAGGGACAGUUUAAGUGAUUUACAUGAAAUUUUAUAAAUGAUUAUGCAAAAGAACAAAUGAUAACAACUUCUGAGAAUGUCCAUGCAAAGUUAACAGCAAAGUAUCAUAGUCAAGUCAAGUAUCAUUUCAGUUACAUUAUCAGCAACCCAAUGCACACAAACCUACAUAAAUAAAUAUAGAAAACAACUUGCAAGAGGAAGUUUAAGAUUUGACAAUGGCACCAAAAUAGCCCUCGUAGGAAGCUGCCUGCAUUUUAAAAAUAAAAAAGACCCAGAGUGCACUUCUGUAGCCCCUCAGAGCUGUCUCUGCAGAGGCAGGGCAUCUAGAUAAAUAGCUUUAAUACCCCAGUGUUCCAAUAACGGAGGAACAGUUGUUUCCCAUUGAAGGCUUAGGGGUAUGACGGACGCAUAGACACCCACCUUUGGAAAGCAGGCUGACAAACCCCCCUGUGCUGUCUGAGCCAAAGGCCUUUGACCCGUUGAGACCCUGGGGGACAAUGACCCAGCAGCACCAGUGGGAAAAGUCCACGCAUGCUAGAGGAACAAAAGGCUGGCUAAUGCACUGUUUUCUCUUUUCAAAUCCUGGUGGGGGCAAUCUGACCUUCUGCCUCUUGUUCCAACAUGGUGAAAGCAGCAACCACUAAGACGUCGACCUCUAGAGCCUUGUCCUCAACGUCACCCCCCCCCACACCCGGCCCCCAAAUGCAUGCACUUUUGAGAUGUAAAAAAAGAUAAGGUAAUUUACUCCGAUGUGUGAUAACAGUUUGAAUGCCCUCCCAUUUCGAAAUGCAGACUAUGCAAUCGUUUUUGUUUUACUCGUUCUAAUGUCAACACACCUACUUCAGCCGAGGAAAUGCUGACACUUUUUAAUUUGCCGAUAUGCUUCAUGAAAACAGACCAUUACUCUUCAAAGGGCUACGAGGCCCAUCGUGAUGUUUCCUUUGAGCACAAAGAGUCCAUAACUUGUAAAGGAAAUGGAAUGCAUUGAUUCCACACGCUGCUGCUUGUUCAUUAUUACGUUUCGUCAUGCCUUUGUCUGUCGACAUAAUCAACCUGAAUAAGAACCGCGAGCUCUCUGAUUUUAAAAAUAAACCUUGUCUUUGAAGCCUAAUUUACAUUGCUGCUGGAUAACUGCCAUGUUUCUCCCACAAUCAAAUGAACAGUCCAACUAGCAGAGAAAGACCCAAUCAAUUAAAAAUAGACAUAUUUGAAGGGAGCGAAAAAUAACAGUUAACAGUGUCACAGAUUUCUUUUUGUCCUCAAAAUAGGUCCUUUUAUCCUAAUUAGCUGAAGUAAAACCUUUCAAAUCAUGUGCAAAGGUGUAGUUUAAAUCAAUCAAUUCAUUUACAGUAUCUUAUAUAGACGUGUUUAAAAAGCGCUUAAAAUGUAUUUAUUGCCUUCACUCUUCCAACUUCUCUUUCAAGAUAUUGACACUGGAAAAAAAGAUCAGAAAUCACUUACUAUGCGCUCCAUCAUUUUCCAUUUUUCCUUCACAAAGGACGGAUUAGAGUUCAGAUGAUAGCCAUCUUGGUAAAUUAAGUAUUUGCUGAAAUUCCCGCGCAAAAACACAGAAGCUUGGUGCUGGACAUGGUGUCCAUCAUCAUUCUGGUGUGAUCGAGUGUGCAAAACCUCAAUGUUAGGACAUCACACUUUCCUUCCAAGUGGCUCUAUUGCAUUUGAUAUUAUGGCGGCAAAUUAUGGAAUCGAAACCAGAGCGAGAGCAUCAAGAAUAAUAAAGCUCUACAGUGCAAUUCUAGGUCAUGGGUGAAAAAUGUUUGCAUUUGAAUGGCCUACGUGAUUCGGCUAGGUCAAGCAUUUUUGUAUAUGUCACCGAAUGUUUGUACAAACCCCUCCAGUGUAUAUUUCAUGGAAGAAACUGAAGUGUCACAUUGUGCAGAGUGUUGUUUUUUUAAAAGCUACUUACUGCUUUUGAAGGGAAGGGAAAGAGAUGAUUCGACCGGUCAACAGUGACACCACAGCACUCACAUGAGAGGGCCACUCAUUCACCUUAAUAACAGCCAGCGCAGGCCGCUGACAAGCAGACAUUCAACAUCAUGCGGGAGCAAAAGAAAGUUUGUUUCUCCGACCAACUUACAAUGUGUUACUGGUGUAAUUGGUCUGUUUCAACUGCUCUUCCAUUAACAGAAAAUCAGCAAAUUUUACUUAACAUAUUUUUAAGUUGCAGAGCUACCAACUCUCACGGUUUCGCCGUGCGACACACGCUUUUGCAUGUUUUCACACGCACUCACGCCACACAACCAAUUUGUCACAGCAAAAAAAAAAAUCUGAUUUUGGGCCGAAGCGCAUUUGUUCCUUUUCAAACUCCCCGACGAUAGAUGGCGCUAAGGAGCGCAUCUGUUAACCUAUUCGCUGCAUAGACAUCCUGUUUACCCCAAAGAGUCCCGAAGUCAGCAACAGAAGAAGGUUUUAAAACAGCCACAACCGCGGGAGAAACUCAGGAGGAGCAAAGACUAAGGUGUGUUAAUGACAUGUGGUUCAAUUAAGUACUCACUCUCUUAAACUUAAACUUAAACUAAAUCUUAAAAGAAAUUAUUGGUUUUGUUUGUGCGUGUGAUUUUGAGUGGUGAACGUAAACUCAGCUGUCAUAACAAGCAGCAGGAGAGCACCUUGUUAACCUCUUGGUAUACUGCAAGGCUGCUCACAUAGCAUUUGUCAUUUUUUGCUGAACAUAAAUCAUUAAGUGCUCUUAAGAGUACAAUUAUUUCAGUUAAGAAUUAGUUGAAUACCAUUGUAAUCAAAAUGUCAAUCAACCUAAAUUGGUCAAAUCUUAAAAACAGGUCUAUUAAUUAGGCUAUAUUGCGGUACAUAGACAGUCAUUGAGGCACAGCAAUAGUUUUCUGGUUGAAUUGUUCAGCUCAAGUCUAGAAGGCCCCACAAGUCAUGAGCAGAUGAACAUGAAUCAGAAUAAGUUCAGGCAUACCACCCAAAAAUCCACUAGAAAGCAUGAAAUAACAUCUACUUAAACCAAAAUGUCCUGGGGGUGGACCAUCAGCUAUGUAUUUGCUUCACAGAAUGUAACCAAUGUUGUCCAUCUCCAGUAGGCCGCCCCUAUCAACGACUUUGGGCCCCACAAACCACCAGAAUGCAGGGUACAACAUGGCUACUACGCCAAAUGAAUUCCAAUUUCCUGAUAUUUGAGCCACCAACGUGUGUGGCUGCGUGCGCGGCAAAAUUUUGGUCACCCCCGACAAAAUCUUACUCCAAGGUUUUUUGAAAAGUUGGCAGCUCUGAAGUUGUAAUCGAUAGACAGAGGCGGAUAGAUUAGCGGUAAUGAACAACUGCUGUGAAUUUACAAAGAAUAUACAGGCCUGUCAUGCCCCUUAAUAAUACCCUCAAUGGACUUGGGUGAAAAGAGCCGAAAGCGAGACCUGAUGUCAUCCGAACGACAUGUUGCCUAACUUGUCUGUUCAGUGUGGAAGGUAUGGCGAGCGUGGGGGGGGUGGGGGGCACAUAAGCGCGGGAUAGAGAGGCGUUCGCGUAAGAAACACUUUACCUUUUUGUUUGAAGUUUGAAUUGUUUACAACUUAAUGUAGGGGCCAUGAAAAGGUGUUUACACAGGUGUGUGUAUGUGUGUGUGUGUGGAUUGUGCCGUUUUCCAUCUGAUGAAGGACAGUGUUGAUCAAAAAUUGUAUAUUUUUUGAAAUGCCUGGUGUGGGUGAAAUCAUAUGGCCUUAAGACAAUCAGAUGUAAAUCAAAAUAUGUGCGAUUGAUAAAAGUUGUUAAUCGUUCAGAUUUGACCCGUGGCAACAGGAGGCUUAAGAAGGAGGAUCGUAGUUGAUGGCAGCUGGCAAACAAAACCGUGAGCACCGAGCUUCUUCCAUCUUCCAUCUGCAACUGACAAACAUCAUCCAAUCAGCUAAAAAAAACAAGAAAACACAAAGAGAGUAUGCAUGUCAAUCUCCUGCCACGCCUAGGAUCUACACAUCUCCUCCCCGAUAACUCUCACACCAGCCAGUGUAUUUUUGGUACUCUUGGUAUACAGCUCAGCUCAGUGUUUGUAAAGAAGGUUCGGGUUACACACUCAUCCGUGUUGCCUGAUGUAAUCAACAUGCAAAUAUCUGACGCAAUCCGCUAGGAUGAAUUAAUUGCUGAAGUUGAUGCAAAAAAAAAAACUGUUUCAUUUUGUUUUCAGGUAAAUUGAGCACUUUUGGGCUACAUCCAAGAUAACAGUUGAUGUGGAAUCUGGAAGUUUGCCAUUUCUUUUAAGAAACCAAUAGAAAAUGUGGAAAAUGCGUAUGUUCUCUAAGCUUGAUGUUGAAUAAAAUAUGUGCAAAUCUGGCAAAAAACGGCCUUCAAAGCGUGCCCACGCUCUUUCUUUAACAGACUAUUGGCAUCGUUAAACAGCUUCCACGCGACCUGACAAAAGUGCUCUUUUGUGUGAUUCAUAAUACGCCGCGGAUUGCUAUAUCAACCAUUUGUUGACUCACAUUAAUUAUGGAGCCUUUGAAUCCCGAACAAGUCUAUGUUUGGGAAGGGAAAAAUAUUAGAAAAUGACAUUUACUGUAGUUAAAGCGCAGGGAUGUUUCACUUCAAACCCAUGUUCCACCUUCCAGACAGCCAAUUGCAGACCACAGACAUGUAAUUGGCCAAAAGUGUCGGUGCUACGUCCAAACGACCUCUUCGUUUAAACUUCUCUAUUCAGCUUCUGCAGAUGCGGUUUGGUGUUCUCGGCAGUAAUUACAAUGAAGUGAGAGGACCAGGCCUCUCUGAGAAGGCACCUAGGGUGGCUCAGAGGUGAUUGCAGUCCCCGCAGUUUGAGGCGCGGUCUGCUUCAAAGGGGAAGUUAACCUUGACAAGACAGCAGCCUCUUUUUGCCCGGCGGGAAGCUACCGGGAGGGCAAAGGGCUCUUCUUUCUGCCCACAUUGCAUCACUUGGACCUAGUGGUAAAUGUCACUGAGGGCCACACCUCAGCCAGAAGGAGAUGUUACAGGGACAGAGGCGAUAGGGACCUCUCCGAGAGGUUGGACAGUCUUUGCCACGGGGGGGGGAGGGGGGGUUUGAGUCGAUUCCGACGGGCUCCAGGCAAAACCAUCUUGGCUCAUGUGGUAUUUUAUUUUUACCCCCCAAUAAAUAAAGGUUUGAACAAAAAAAUACUUUUACUAUUUUUAUGGUGUGCAUUUAUUCCUUUAGGUGACACCAAGAAAUCUCUGAAACAGUUUAUUUCAUUAAAAGUACUCAUUAUAUUCAAUAGUGUAGCAUAAUUACCUUCCACACAAAAUAUCGAUGUAGAUAGCUGUUAUUUAUGAUAUAAUGUAUCAACUAAUUUAGUCAUUAUGCAUAUUUUCUGGUUAGAACUAAAUAUGAUAAACAUUUCGGAGCUUCUUUACAACAACUGUACCCACAUUUCAAGGUGUGCCGUUUGGCAUUUGAUUAGAUAUUACAUUUCAUUACAGAAGCCAUCACUCAUCAUUCAAAUUAUAUUCUGUAUGCGUUGUCACAAUUUGCUUCCCAAAAAUGAGACCGUUAAUAUGUGUUUUGAUUAAAAUAUACUCUUGCCGGUGUGCCAGGUGUAAAACAGGAACGUUUACAUGGAUUAAAAAUCUGAAUGAGUUCUUUAGUGGGGUGCUUGUGUCAAACUAAUUCAUUUCAAACACUGUCUGUACUUUUAAAGACUAUGUCAAAGUAUAAAUUACCACACAAUGGCUUUAUAUGCCAACUGUACUUUACUGCUUCCUUUGUAUAUAGUGUUUUGGAGGGCAUGUUGCACAAUAAGGAAAAUAUUACUGGAGGUAUGUUGAUGUGCCACAUUUCUCAUUUCUAACCUCUAUCCGGUUUGCUUCUUAGAAAGGGUGAUUUGCAUUUUAUCUCAAUAAUAAAAAGAUUGCAUUGGCAUAUUCUCAAUAUCGCGUAACUUCAAUUCAACUACAGUGUAAUACUAGUGGCCAAACUUCUCAAGUCAGUUUGGACCUGAUGAUCAAAAUGCUGCAAGGUCAAUCGCCAUUCUGCCAUUUAUUUAGUCAAUUUGCCCAUUGCAUUUACAUGUAUGUUUGAGAUUCUUUAAAGCAACCCUUCCUAAAGUGAGUAAUAUUUCGUUUUAAGUAUGUAACAAAAUGUUCUUUCUUUCUUACUGUGUGACCACAAGAAAAAAUCAUUACAAUCCAUCAUACAACUGGUUAGAUUAAUGAAACAAAACCAUACAAACGGUAUGGUAACAUGGUAUGUUUCCCAUUUGUUAAGACUUGUCAGCCUACUGUCCUGAUUAAACUUUUUUAACUUUACUGAAGGCAGUGAAGGCAGCUGUCAUCAACUUAUAUUCCAGCGUGCAACUUCCUUGUCAUCUUUUGCUGCUUUUCUCAUUUGUCGUAACCUCAGUGUAAACUUUACAAAACUCAACUCAACAAUCACUGUUUUGCAAUACAUCAUGUGCUGUUUAUACGAAAACACAACAAACCAACCUCAGUCCAGUCUGAUGCUGACAGCUUGCUCUUAGUAAUAUCACAGAAAACAGCUGUAGACUGUUCCGGAGACUGCUUUAAUGAAGGUAAAUUCCUACAUCAACUUAUCAGAGUGUGAGAAAACAAGAGCAGUAGCGCUACUUUUGUUCAACAAUUAGUGUCUCACACUCGACGUGCACAGCAACCCUCAAUACGUGUUGUCCAACAACAAAAUGACAGGGUGUUUACCAUUAAUCUAAAUGUCUGUAUAUCUGCAAUGGCAUUCCUCCAAAACUUACUACAGUGCAGCUAAGAGAGAUUUUAUCACCAGAGUAAAACUGUUAUGUUUUUUCAGCAUGACGCACACUUGUCAGGAAUGGAUAAUUACACUCGGCAAACUGAACCAACUCAAGGAGGAGAAUGGCUGCAGGUGAUCCGCAGACGUAUUAGGACAUCUGCUUAAUUUAUUUAAAUGAAUACAGUUAUCAAUUUGAUUUCCCUUUUCCUUCUCCCUUCAGCGCUCUCUGUUUCUCAUACGAUUUUGACGUUUGGAUCAGCACUUUUAGGCAAGCUGCUUACAUAAGCCCUCUUAUACAUCGACUGUAUUACAUUCCUUUUCGCCGUUGAUGUAACAUUGGCACCACUGGCCCAGAGAACUAGCAGUCUUGAGUCUGGUGUUCAAAACACUAACUGCUAGGUUGCAAAUAGUCAAAUUAACAAAUGAGACUCCAAUGCUCAGUCCCUGAUCCUGAUGUGUUCAUGCAUGUCGCUGAUUCAAUGCACCGCCAGAGCAUGCAAGAGCUUGGAGCUGAAUUACUAGAUUAGUCCAUCAUUGAUUUGUCAACCGACUCAACUCAUGCAAAUAAUUAACUUGCAAAGAUUUGCUUUGUCUAAAGCAAUUGUAAACUGUAUACAUCCCCCCCUGUGCAUAUCUACUGCAUCCUUGUCAUUCCAAAUUAUAGAUGUACUCGAUGAGAACAUCAUGAUGUUAGCUAAUCUGUAAAACUCUAUGAGGUCAAAAUGUCAGAAGAGAAACAGAAGAGCAUGCACAUCUAAUGUGUGAUUAAGUUGCAUAAUUACAGUUUUGUAUGAUAAUCUAUCUGAAUGACUGCUGCAGCCAUCCACUACCACUCCACAGUAUUCCCCCCAUAGCAGCAAAGGUAACAGAAUGUCAAUGAGCUAUAACACCAACCAGUGACUGAGAACCACUCUCUGAUGUCCGUUCAAACUUCACCUUAUGAAAGCAAUGACAUAUAAAGAUGAAUCCACAGCAGAGCUGAUCUUCCUUAAGCAUCACAAGCAGCGGAACCAAGCCAAACCAAAAUAAGCCACAACAAACAUCCGGUCUCUAAAUACUGCCCCAUAAACAAACAUCCAACCACCAAACUGUAUCACAUUACUCAGUUAAUCGAGGAAGGCAUUACCUUUAGAAGAGUUCCCUCCAUGACUUUGUGAGUGCAAACUGAUCCAUCCGAUCUUCAAAUUCUAUCGAUCACUCCGGGACGCACUCCAUAGGCAGCAAUGACCGUGCGCAGUCAGUCAGAUCUGGGCCAAUGACAGGAAGGUACAAUCAAUGCCAAACCCCCUGAUGGUGAUUAAAUAAACUAUUCUCCUGGUGCAGUUUGCUGGACGGAAGCCAUGCAACAGGUCACUGGUAAGGGAAGAUGUUUCCUUGCAAGGUCAGAGUCUCAGAAAUCGGUUCAGAAAGUCUUUAUUCAGACGUCUAGCCGACUUCAGAGGUGUUUUCACUGACACAAAGUUGAAAUAUUGGUAAUGUCUUGAACUUGUAGACAGGCCAUUCAUCUCUUUCUGGAUGCUAGCUAAUCGGGUAUUUGAUGCGAAUAAAGUUGUUAAUUGGCUGCAAGACAAGCUUAACUUUUUGCAUCAUUGUCAGACGUCUGUGAGCAAACAAAGCUCUUACUAUGGGCCAUUGAGUCCAACAGGUGUACAGAGUUUUGUAGUUUUGUAAACUCAAAUACCUCUCUGCUUUCAAUCGAUUGUCUGUCCUUCUUCGCUGGUCUGACCGGCUUGUUUUAGACUAUUCUGAACACACAACCUGAACAUGUAACGUAACAGCUCAACACACCACUGCUUCCAUCAGUAUUUCGACACCAAAAAAUAUAAUAUAGUUUAGCUCCCAACUAUAGCCUUACUCAGUCUAAAACCCAUUGAAUACACACAUGUCUGUGUGUCUAAAACACAUAAUACAAGUAUAACAUUUUUUUUUAUAUGAGUUAAUAAUAAAUAAUGAAUUGAUUAUUCACUACUGGAUUGGAUAGUAGAAGCCCCUGAGCAUUUCAUUGAAUAUUAUACAACAAUUGUUUUGUUUGCAAAUCCCUAAUUACGGCUCUCACGAGGCUCUAACAGCGUCCCACUGGAUAACACCCACGGGAUAUGUUUACAACUGAUUCAAUGUUUACAGUCUGUUUCCACAAGGUUUACAAUCUGAUUUACAUUCGGAUGACAGUAUUUGUGUUGCCUGGGUAGUUGUACUACAAUCAUGCAUCAUAGAGACCAGAAUACGUAAUAUUGCAAACGGCUCAGUUUGGUUGGAUGCAUACCGUAUUGUUGCAAAAGAAACAAUCUUGCUUGAAAUUUGGCCUCUGAAUUGGUUUAAUACAUAUACAUGUCUCUCGCUGCAUGUACUUUCUGUGCUUACGUCCUCUCAGUGUGCCCACAAUACACCAAACUAUGGAACCUUGAGAGGGCCGAGCUGAAUAGAUCUCUUUUGAAAAUAAGGCUCUGAUGGUUCUUACCUAGGAAAAAGGUUUGCCUCGUGGGAAAAGCUUUUUCUGAGCUUUUCAAAGGGAUACAAGAUAAAGCUAUCAUUAGCAUCUCCUUGGUAUGAGCUGUGACCAAGGAUGCUGUGCCUGUGAAAACAACACUUCCUGUGACAUUCCACAGUUUGAUUCUCUGCAGUAACCUUGGCAAUUGCCUCAAUCACAGGGAAUUAAUUCCAGUCAUGCCACUCCCUCCUCCCCCCCGGAGUUGUAUCGGGCCCAUGCAUCGUACUACUAGCCCUGAUUCACUGUGAAUACCAGCCAAGCCCAACGAUUUUCAGGUCCCCAGGCCCUUAUUGCUAUCUGUCUGCCUCCACUCUCAAAAUGGGCCAGUCUUUUGUCUGCACACACGUUACAGCUGCCAGAUUGUGGCAGAUUUAGGCCCUUUUUUUAUUUCCACACUCACAGACAAUGUCAAAAUAAAAAGCUUUUCUUUUCUUAACAAUGUUCAGCCCAUAUAUGAGAAUGUGCACAUCAACCUUCAAAUGUAUGAGGUAAUCCCCGGUUUCAAAAUGUAGAAAACCGACAGAUAAAAGAUUGAAGACAAUCUUUGGGCUGUAAGUUUAAUUGUUUCUAGCAUGCGUGGACAUAUUGUUGUACACAUUUUUGCCAUUGAAUAUGAUUUUAAACUUGGAAAUUUAAGCUGUCACUAUAGCAACACGCAUCAUGUUUCACAUCUAAUGUAUGAUAUUUUUUCUGCAUCAAAUUAAGGCCAGCAUCGAUUUAACAAUAUUAUAGGCAAGUUAUAACAAUUUAGUUUAGUUAUUAUUUAUAAUGUGGUCACAGUAAAAAUAGUUAACAUUUUACAGCAGAUGUCCUACAUCAAUGAAUUUCUGGAUGAACAUUCCGUCACAAGGCCUUUGUCUUGUAGCUUAAGUAAUGUUUAUUACUCUCUUUCUCAAUUCAGAGUCUAUUAGGCAAACAGCAGCUGCUUUUUCUCAUUGUGCUGAGUGCAGUCAUGGCACUAAACUCGCCUAUUAUAAAGACCAUGUAGUUGCGCCAUCCAAAAUAUGUGAUGCUGUGAUACCCGGCAGGUUGCCUUAUUUCGACUGCUCCACCUUUUGUAGAGCACAAUUAAUCAGCCACCUCACAUGUGUUAGAUAAAUCCUUUUAAAUACUGAGGUACAUUCAAGAACUCUCUUAUUUGGAGGCUUUUGUAAUGCCAAACUGCACACCUAGGUUGACCUUUUACAGGCUUUCUAUUUGGUCCCACUGGAUAAUGGCCCCUUUAUUGGAAGCCAUGAUCCAAAAUUGUAUAGUCCUCUGUUGGGAAGGUUUUGAUGAGUCAUUUUUGACUAUCAGGGGGCGGGGGGUUAAUUCACAAGAGGGACGUUGUGCUUUUUAAACCCAAAACAAACCAAAAGAGCUUUUUGCGAUUUGAGAUUGCAUGCGCUUUCCUGCUCUCGUCCUCUCCCUGUGACUAUGUGGGUUUCCAACAGGCCAAAGACUGCAGGAUGUACAAUAAGGUAAAUUGGAGGCUGUGAAUAUGUUUUUAGAUGGGAAUGCGAGUGUGCGGUUUAGUGUCUAUUAUUUUAGACCUGCAGUAUAUAGCUGACCUCGCACUGCCUUUUGUCCUGUGAAUGUUGGAAUAAACUCCAUCCCACCAUGACCCUGAACAGGGCUCCGGUGUAUGGAUGGAUGGGUAAAUCACAAGUGAAUCAAACAUUGCAUGUUUUAACACAUGGGAUUUAUAAAAAGAGACAUUUUCUCCAUAUUUUUCAGCCCGUUGUUGUUAGUGGUUUUAUUUGCAAACUUCUGCAUAAUGUAUAUCCCGUAUGGAUUUGUGUCAGGGGUAAGGGGAAAUGAUGUAUGUAUGCUCAUGCAAAGGACUGGAGACUGGGAGGAGGUGGGGGUCGAGUCUACGGUGGGAGGUUGUCUUGGACCAAAGGCAUCUGUCUGGGAGUGGCUGUAAUUGGGUGGAGUGUGGCGUUUUCUCAUUAAUAUGGAGCCCAGGGGAAGUUGACAGCCAACUUCCUCCCUCUGUGUUUGGUUGUUUGACUGUAUCUCCAUUGAUGCUAAACGCAGUGCUCCCAGGGCGCCCCAUGCCUGUUGCCUGCUUCGUUAAAACCAAGAAAAUGAAUAUUAAUGUCACGCGGACUUGAAGCUGCCAUAGCAGAAGGGCAUCGUCAGUCUAAAGGCUGUUCCAGACGUUUUGUGGGUGUACUUAAUAGGGAGUAUUCGGGAGGGUCCAAUCCCGCAGGGCGGCAUGCGCUACAAAUAUGUGCUGUCUUUUUGACACCUUAAUUUCCUGUUCACGGGGGAUUGCGGCACAGUGUGUUCCAAAUGAAAUAUACGGAAACAUUGGCCGGCUCUUGAUCACUCGGAAAUAGACAAGAGAAACAUGCUAGGUCUGAUUACUUUGUCUUAUUUCCAGUGUCCACAUGAACACCACAAUACGUUUUGAGAGUGCAAAUAUAUAAUUAUGAAGCUCACCUGCAUAGAGUGAAGUAAAUUGAAAAAAUCUGUGUGUGAAUGGGCAACCUUCAUCUUGGGAAGGCAGUAAAUAUAGUCAAUAACCGCCAGAAUAACAUUUAUCACAGCAACCACUGUCUGUCUACAAUUUACUUGACACAGGAAACACCAGCAAGUUCACCCGUGGACGUAAGUCACCCAGAGAGCAGAAUCAUACACUCUUUUUCCAGAAGAAAAAACUAGCUGAAAGGACACAGAUCACACCAGAAAUGUGAACUUCAUUCUCUAUGACUUACCAGCACACAUUUGGAGAAGAGAAGCUGCUGGAAAAACAUGACUCUCGACACUGUGAGGAACAGUUGGACAUUUUGGGAUUUACACUUAGUCACUUUGUUGCGUUAGACAAGAAAUAGAACGAUUCCGCUCUUAUCUGAUUGUUAAUUAAGAAGCCCAAGCCAGGAGACUGUUAGCGUAGCUUAGUAAAGCUUUAUACCGUCUCUUUUGGACUUCUCAUCAAACCCUUGGCAACAUGAAUAAGCGUAUUCCCAAAAUGUCUAAUUAUUCCAUAAACAUCCAUUCAUCCAGUGUAAUUCUGUUUCACGCUGUGCAGACCUGCUGCUUCUGCACUCCAAUCCAAAACUACAGCCGGCGCUGUAUGUUUUGCAUAGAGAAAAUGUGAAAUGCAGCGGUCAGGAUUUUUAGAAUAUGAGAUUAAGGUUCAGUGAAGAGACUUCCUCGAAGUACGAAUAAGUCAUUCCCUCCACCAGACUGCUAUCUGCCAGUAAUAGGCUGGUUAAUUAUUAAUUAUUAAUACGUGGAAUUCUCACUGGGGAGCUACCCUGGAUCCUCGGAGCAGACAUCCGUACGGGGACGUUCAAGGUCAAAGUAAAUAGGUAGGUAAGGAUAAAGACUGGGAAAUAGCUAAGAUUGGUUCAAAACACGGCUAUGUGGAAGGCUUCACUAGCCCUGCGGUCAUAUCGACUCUUUUAACAGUGAUUUUCAGCAGCAUUAAUAAAACUUCAAUUAACCAUCAGGGGUCUGUCUUCCAGCUCACCUCCCUAAUCUAGUUUGAUGGAAGCAGUUAAAGAAUCAGCAGAGCCUAUUUAAAAACAAAAACCUCCCACCUUAGUGGUGAGAGAGUAUCCGGCGCUAACAGUUAUAGCAGUGAUACCCUUUCACUGUCGGACAAGGUGUGAAAGGCCGCAUCGCGUGGCUUCACAAAUUCUUAACCCUGUUUCUCUUUAGCUUCCCGAAUAAUUUGUAGCUCCACAAACACUACCAUGAUGUUGGCCUGAUGUCACACUGGUUAAUUGGGUCUGACCCCAGAUGCUAUUCAGGCACUUUGAAGAGAGAAACCCAACACGCCUCCUUAAUUGAUGCAAGCAACACCCUAGCACACAAACCAUUGUGGAAGGAUGUACUGAUCCCCGGCAUUACAAAGGCCUUUAAGGCCCAUUGCUGUUCUUCUCCGAGCAAAUUGGAUGUUUUUAAUGAGGGACCACCCUGUCUCUCAAACAUUGUCUGAGCAACAGCUGGAUUCUAAGCUCUAAAAGCAAUGAUAGAUGUUCAUUCUGUAGCAGGUCAGUUCUCAAAUAUAUGUUUCCUUUCAAUCUUCUUUAAAUUAGUAGGAUAAUUUAAGUAUGUUAACUAAACGUCGACAUGCAAAUUGUAUAUUAUCUGUUGAAGUUUAUGUUAGGCUGUAUAAUGUUAUGCAGUAUAAUGAAUACAUUAACUUAUGAAGGCCCUCGAAAAUGAGGUAAUACGCGGGCUCUCAUAUUAAUCUUUUCAAAAAUAAACGGCCGUUUUGAAAAAGGUUUUCCUCUUGUCCAAGUUAACUCCUCUGUUGAAACCCAAAUGUGCUGAGGAAAAAGAAUUAUCUCAACAAUUGUUCGCCUCAGACAUCACUCUCCGUCUUUUCCUCCAGGGGUGUCUUCAGAACGUUUGAGGGACUUGAAGGACCAGUGACCAGAGAGCAACAAUGAUCACAAUGCCAUUUGUGAGCUCCAUGGUGCGUAUUUAAUAACAUAACAGCAUAAUUGCAACACUUUCUAGAACAUAAUCUUUAAGUCUAUAAAAGGAAAAUUGCUCAGAAAAUCACACCUCAGCCCAAAUACAGUGUUGUUGCUUGGGUGUUGUGAUGUCUGUCAUGGCUUUCAUCGGUUGUUUUUGCAGAAUGGUAGUCAGGUGGGUUUUCAAAGGGCAUUUCAUGGACCAGCGCAUUGUGUCCCUCAGAGCAGACAGACAUUCUUAACCUUAACCAUACUGUUCUGUACCCUGAGAAGGACCUGAGAACCCUUGGGAACUUGAGAACUUCAUAUGAAAGUCGUAUCUGUUGUUUUAGGACGGUUUAGUAGUUUAACACUCAAAUGUAAAACACUUACGGUCCAUUGUUUUAAUAGCUGUCUAGCAUUAUAAUCAUAUCUGACUCAGAUCUCACUUGCUGCUCCACCUCAGCAACUGUACUCUGCAAGUACAUGCAACUGCCCAGGGCCACUUGCUUUAGCGUCUCUAUACUACUAAGCGGCCAGCUGCUGCUGCCUUUUAAUACUGUGUGAAUAAGUUCAAGAAUUAUUUUUUUGUAUCCCCCGAUACAUUAACUGAAAGGUUUACAGUUUCAGGAUGAUGGACGUCAGAUAGCUUCAGGAAAUGCCUUCAAAGAAUGCAAGCUCACCUGUACAACAUUCUUCUCUUAAUAUGCAACAGUAGGUUUACAGCUAGGUUUAACACAGUCUGCAGGUAUAAAACGUUUUUUUAUGCCUUUUUUUUCUCUAGUUGAACAGAACCACAAUUUACCAAAAAAGAAUGAAAGAAAAAUACUUCCACUACAACAAUUAUUAUAUACACCUGUUACAAAUCUGGUGCAUACAGCAUAUAGUAUGUAUGUAUUAUAAAGGGUCUUGCAUGCACACCUUACGGCACAAUCAGUUAUUGACGAUUAUGUUAAUUCUGAGUGUGAAGGAAAUAUUAACGGAUGUUUAAUCCAGGAUUUGAAAAGGUUAAACUUUCCUUGGGUGUGAGUUGAACAAAUAUCAAACACACAUGAAAUGUCAAAGUUGGUCUUUGUAAACAAAUGAAAUGUCAGGGACAAAACUUUGGCCCAAGCCCUCCCUCACCUGGCUCCUCAUCUUCAGAAAGUCAUAUUUGUCAGACGUAAGAGGGCCGACCAAACAGGCUUUAUUUCACCGAGCUGACCUAUUAGCACCGUAUUAUUUGAACUGCUGAAUGAAAAGUGUCAGCGUGCCUUCUUCAACCCAUCUCAGGCAGUGAAGGUCAUAGGUAAGAUCCUCUGGCGCUUUCCUCCGACCUUCGCCUUCCGACUCUGCUAUCUCCUAUUUCUUCUGGCUGGCACAGAGUCUCAAUUCCUCCCAGUGUGGACGUUCUCCAAUGCACCAGCUCUGACUAUCAAAACAGCAGUCAUUAGGCAAAUUUGCCCUGGUGCAGGAUUACAUUAAUUAUCAUGGAAUUAUCACUUCAUUAAAGCAGGCAGAGAUAAAUUAUCUCUGAUGAAACAAAUGCAAAAUGAGGAAAUAAUGAUCAUUCCGCACAGAAAAAAAAGAUAUAUUAAGAGACUGCCAGUUGAAGGAAAUCACGUUAUUGUGUUCCUGAGAGUUCAUUCCUUAGAGAUACUGCGGUACGAUAGAGCCAGUGGGUUUUCCACAGCGGGCUUCGACGACCACCCACCCCUUUACCCAAUGCAGUGAAAGUCCCCUCCCCAAGCCCCAAUAGAGCCUGUACUUUCCCAGCAAAUUGCAAGCAUCAUUAAUCAUGCCAAAUGUAAUUUUUAAUGAAGGUCUUCAUCAGCCCAGCAACCCUCUUUGUUUCCUUGCAAAAAGCUUCAGCAGACUGCCAUUUUACAGGAGACUUUUCAUCGUUCUCACUGCAGCCAUGAUGAUGAUGGAUAUCCAGAUGAUCUCCAACCAGGUUCAUAUUGUGCGUUUGCUUAAAAGAAAAAUUAUUGCAAUUAUAAAAUAUAUAAUCCUCGCCGCUUUGGGAGCACAGGGGUAACGAGAAAUCUGGCAACUGAUAGUUAUUUGUCAAAGCGUUGAAACAUUGAACAAAUGAGGGAGACACCCUUAUUUUCCACACUACAAGAAAGGACAUGCUGGACAUGUUUAGCUCUUUUCCAAUGAUCUUUUUUGAAGGUCAGCAGAAGAAAACAAAUUACAUGGGUUGCUCAGAUAUUCUUUCCCCCAGUUUUUGGAUGAUUUGAAAGACUGCAGCAAAAGAACUCGCAGCUGGAAUUAUAAUGAUUAAAAUAACCUUACUAGCCAAAUAACAGUAGCCAACUUUCCACUCCCUGGCGAUAUCAACUGCAGCAUGUAGCCUAAGAAAAAAAGUAUUCCCGUUAAGCUUCAUACAUCGAUUGGGAGAAAAUAUUGUGAGAGAAUCACACAAAAAAUAUUGCCUCAAACCUUUUCAUUAUUCAUGAUUGUACUCCUUCCUGUUACAGAAGGCUAUCUAUUUGGUCCUUAUUCUUAAAGCCUAAACUGUCUAAAUCUGAUGUUGAGUUGUUUGAGACUUUGUUGCCCUAUAAACUGAAAGACACCUUUGUCUGAGAGGCCAGAGCAAUUCACCUCUCUUGUUGCCGCCAAUACUGUACUGCAAUAUGUACUCCUGCAGAAAAGCAAAAUAAAAUAAAAAUACAUGUCAUCAUGCAUAAAGCAGCAAACUAUCUCUGACACGUUGUAGGACCCAGUGUGAGUACAAGUACGAACCACGAGCCUAAUUAUUUAUAAAACAACAUGACAGCUAAGUUGUUGUUCUCAGUUAUCAUACUGGGUUCAAAACCCAUGGGUAUGUAACCGAAGACAGAUAAUUGACAAUAAAAAUCUCUAUCCUCAUCGCUGUUUCCAAUUACCUUCCCUCUUCCAUCGCAGUAGCCUGCUAUACACUGUGCUGGUCUAGGGACUUGAUGAACUGCACCACUGAAGCCUUAAUGCAGACUCUGCUGAAUCCCUUAAGGACCUUCUCCUAAUGGUAGCACACUGUUCCAUAAAAAUGCUAGUUUUCCUUGGAAAUUGAGGUGCAGGUUCAUUAGAAGCCAUCCCGUUGAGUUUGAGAAUGAGCUCCCAAGUGAGUCGGGGAGAGAGGCCAAAGGAACCACCAGAGACGGGAAAGGGAAGUUUGUAUUACACACAGUGUGUCUUUCUAGAUCUUUUGUAGACUUUUUCCCUCUCCCCGUCUCAUGCGGUGUUGGCAGUAUCACUCACGCCUUCCUUUCUGGGGAGGGAGGAGGGACCUCACACGAGGUUACGCAUUCUUCUUGAGAUCACAUUUAAACAAAGAGGCUUAAUUUGCACUGCUACAGUGAGACGCAUUGGCAAGAUGAGUCAGAAUACAACUUUCCAUAGGUCAGUAAUACUUUGGCAGCACUGACGCUUUUACACUUGAAACGAUUAGAAAUGGUAAGAAUAGAAAAGUCUUGUUGAAUUCAUCCUUUUUAUCCUGAACUGAAGGAUUUUGGCGUUGGAAUUCUUACAGCAUGGUGAUAUUUACACUGCUGCGCUUAGUACCCUGGUGUCGAGUAACAAACGUCAUUAACCACCCACGAGAAAUCUCUGUCGACGCAUUUGCGACGAUGCAACUACUCGCACCAUGGAGUACACUCUUUCUGUUCCGACGCCUCUUUCCGGAACACCUUCCUGUUCUACUUUUGUGAUGGAGACGUCGAUGUAGUCAAAAAUCGGUUCCAUUUUUUUUCCACCAACUGCACUAGCAGCUGCAUAAACCUGUGUUACAAAAUCCAGGCAUUCCAUUCAUUUUCUUUCAGAGAUUUGCCUAACAUAGAGAACAAUAACCAGCGUGCACUCUAUACACACCGUUCCAAUUUUCUCUCUGAGUAAUCUCUCAUUCUUCACUGCAGAAAAGUGAGAUCCGUUGAACCCUUUUUACCACCCCCCCCCGGUACAAGGACUACAAAAGCAUUCAUCUCCUGCAGUUUUAUUUACAAUGCAUAUGUUAAUAUGUUAACAUUUAAUUUGCAUAUGCAGACGACCUCGAUUAGUUUGAUCAUAUGAUGCAUAUGUUUGAAUUGUACGCUAUUCCAAAAAAAAGAGCUCCCUCACAUCUUUACCUUUUGUAAAGCAGCGUUCAAUUGGCUAAAAACUGGCUGUAACUUAUUAAAAAAUCACAUCCUGAAACGAAGUAAAGGGUUUAACUAAGUGAAACUCUCUCAGCUGACUGGGCGGCAUUUACAAAGCAACAAGAAGCCCGGUUGAAAGCACGUCUCCAUCUUUGUCUCAGAGCACGUCUCCAUUCUCCCCUCGUGGAGACAUUAUACCACAAUAUCGGAACAUAGCAAAUAGUUGUUGGUCUUCUCAAAUACUGUGGUGGGAUGGUUAUCUUAAAUCUCCAAACAGGAAGUGUCACUGAAAUAUAGCUGAAUCAAAAAAGGCCGAUGUCACAUUUUGAGAAAAUAAUAAAAACAACAAUAAGAAUUGUUAAUAACCAAUAUUUUUGGGAUCACAUUUCUCGACUGCAGCUCAGCAAAAACAACAGUUUUUUUUGUCACAAUGGCACAUCACAGGGAAAAGGAACCAGGAGACAUGCAGAACAGAACAAGUGUUUUUUUGUAUCCCAGCUGCCAGCCUUCCAUCUUUUCACUGUUUAAAUGGCUGCUGCUCUAUCAGCAGUAGAAUACAUCAUUCUUUAAGUGUGCGGCUUUUAUACAAAUAUCUUGGAGUUGCAUUGAAAUCAACACUGUUAUUGCCAAUAGUAUAUCAGCACAAAGUAAGCAGUAGUACUGACAAAAAAAACAAUCUUUUUUAACAGGUAAGCCGGGUCACAUGAGUCAGGUAAAUCCCUUAAAUCAACGACAGACACAUUUAUUUUCCCUUUACGCACUGCAAGGUGAAAAGGAGCAAUAUCUUGUAUAAGCACUUGUUCAUUCAAAGUCUUUUUUUUCAGAGCUUUCAGCCGGCAGUUCAGUUAGUUUGUUUUCUCAAGCUGCUUAAACGUGACAAAAAGGAUUAAACCUGACACACCUGAGAGCUGACCUCCAAGAGUUUAAUGCGACAGCGGCCGGCUCUCUAUUGCUUCAUGGUCAACUCAGUUGGAAUUUAUCAAUCAUAAAUAGACAACCCCCACUUUGUAACUAACAUACACACGGGAUCUGCUCCAGGGUGAGUGGAAUUGCUUAAUAGUUUACUUAUAAUUUCAAUAACCCAUCACGCUAAUUAUGUUAAGUCUGUAUGCGCUAUUGUCAGCUGAACCGCAAGACUAAUAGACACAAAUGGUGUUGCCUGCGAGUGGCCUUUUCAAAAAAGGUAGAUGCACUAAUAAGGAGAACAGGCACAAAAUAGAGAAAAUCACUAGUUUAUAAAUCAGUCAGACAGCUCUCUCUCAUUGAAUGCCUCCACUGACACUUCAAUUCAACAUGUUGACUCCGAAUGACUGCUGAUGAGGGCCAACUACAGCCGAUGGUGUCGCGCACAUUGCAAUAGCUGGUCUGUGACGGCUCCAAAGCGGUCAUCUUUAUUUGCCGUUAGCUCAGCACUUGCAGUGUAGAGUUAGAGAUCUGCCUCCCAAGAAGUUUAUUUUCAUCGUUGCAUUCCUCUUUCAGGUGAACACAAUGGAAGCAUUAUUUCCCCUGGUGCUCCACAUGAGAUGGAGGUCCGCGAAUUGAGCACUGAACCGUGUAAACUGUAAAGCCUGCUUGAAAACAUUAUGUUGUAUAGUAGGAGAACAACAAACGUCGGAAUCAAUAUGCCAUCAAAUGCAGUGUAGAUGAUGAAGAAAGCAGGUUAAAUUCAGCGGCAGCAUGAAUCACGCACAUAUGAAGAUAGAAAAUGUGCAGUGUCGGAAAAAACGGUUUAAAGUGUCUUAAUAUAUUGAAACCAAAUUUACUGCAAGUGCACCCUGCUAAAGGAUUUUGCAUAUUCUAGAAUAUUCUACAAAAUACUCACCUGUCUGCAAGCAUACCCCAGUAACCAUGAGAACUGGCACCUGAAGUAAAGGACUCUUUUGGUUUUGGCUUUUCAAAGCACUUUUUACUCUCACUUGGGACUGAAAUCCAUCUUUCGAAAUUACUGUAGCAGUGGAACAAUUGAUCCGUCCUAUUUUCCUUUACAAAAUUUCAUUCAACUGCCAAGAAAUGCAUAUUUGAGAUGGAUUCAAAAAAAGUAAUGAAAAAACGUUGUUUUCCGUUGAGUGUCACUCUGCUGCAGUCCAGAAGGGCAGAGAGGUCAAGCAACAUCCCCCCUCCGAUAAUGCAUGUCCAUGGAGAGGGCUGAUGAGAUUCAUUGCCCUGCUAUGGCUGGCAGUAAUGGAGGGUUUCAAAGGCCAUAGUCUUUAAUUUCUUGUCCCUGCUAUCAGAAUUCUAACCUCUAGAGAGAGGGGAGGUCAACUGCCCCUGUUCCCCAGAGCCUGCAUCCUGGGCGUUAGGGACUGAGAGAGGUGGUUGAGUUCAGACUGGGAUUGAUGCUGGAGAUGCCUGGCUGAGGGGUCCUGGAGCUCUUCGGACCCUCCUCACACAAAGAGGCUUUACAGAGAAGCUCCCAGGUCAGUCUUAUCAGGGCAUUACUAAUGGUUAUGAUAUGAUCUGUCUAGCAUCAUUUCCAAUUAAAGCUUGCCGGGGGAAUGUGCGCUGCUCCCCAUCUCACUGAGGACACACUGGCGUUCAGUGAAUGUAGACCAUUGUUUAAGCCACUUAUUUCAGUCAGCGAUCAAAGUUCCAUUGUGCACCACCACAAAGGGAAAUGGCAACUGGCCAGGCCUGUUGGAUAUUUAGUUGUGGUGGGGAAAUAGAGAGUGCAGGCUAAUCAGUCUUCUUACUGAUAGCAAUGACCACCAUUGGGACUAUGAGACUAACCUCUUCAAUACAAUGUAAAAAAGGUCUUCCUUCCUUUUGGCCAAGAAAAAUACUUCCUGGGGGGCCAUAAUUUCUACAAACUAUUUUUCGCUUCACACAACAGCCUCUGAGCUGAAAUGACUUUGUCUUGCAGUAAAGCCCCAACAGUUCCAAAGUAUGAACUUGUCAACCACAGGUAAGUGCCUGCCAGAAUCCACCAAGGACCUGAAACGUAGACUCGAGCUGUACAGAUUUGGUGUGAAGACACAUACCGGGCGAGGGGAGUUCAGUCCGGCGCCGUUUUCAUUCAUCUCCAACAGCGAUGAUAAUCGUCUCGCUUAAGGUGAGGAUCUGUGGCACAAACCAUUAUCUGUUUAGUAACUCUUGAAGAAUGGAAUGGAGAAAGGAAAUCUACUGUACAUGUUUGAUAUCAGCCUACAUAGCUUCUUUUUUUUUAUACUUGGUAGUUUUGGAUUUGCAACUUACAACAAAUUCCUGUGAGAGUAGAAACUUUUUUUUCUCGAACUUUGCUUCCUUUUGAAUCUCAAGGCUCGAACACUUCCCCUGCUUUUUCAGUUGGAGGAACAUUAUACAAGAGAUGUGCUCUGACUCAGUCUUAUUUGCAUGUUUGAAAUAAAAAAAAACUUGCAAACUGCAGUGGUCCAGGGAGAGAGAAUCAUUAUUUGUAGCUACAAUAAUUGAAGAUUAAGUCAUUGAAUUAAACACAUAUGUACCUGAUCAAAUAAAUCAGCUUAUUUUAUCUAUCUACAGAUUUCAUUAUUGUAUCACCCUUAAACUGCUGGCAACAGAACAUCAUUUUUUACAUUUAUGUUACUUCCCUCCGUAGAACAUGUUGUUGCCCACCAUUUAAUCCCACUGUGAACCCCUUAGUGAAAAGGAGUUGGUCAUAAUGAGGCCGGAGCAGCUGCAAGCCUUUUGAUGGAAUGAGGUCACUAGAGCGCCAGAGAUCAGUGAUUCUGAUUGGGGGUUGGUCACAUUGGCGUCUCACUCAAAAGAACUGGCAACAAACUAUUGUGUAUUGAAGGAAUGCAAUGACUGCAGGCCCUCCUUCUGCUCUUUUGCAAUGCAUGUCUGUGUCUGGAAUAAAUAAUUUUAAUUGUUCACUGAUUCCCCUCGUACCAUUCAGCUUAAUUAUAAUUGAAACAUUAAUAGGAUGUAAAUGGGAUGUAUGUCCUGGUUACCUUUGAUAUAGAUCUAGACUGUAAAGGAGAAUAUACUGCAUGUACCAGGAGUAAUCAAAUAUGCUUAAAUAAGCACCAUUUUAGGGAUUUACAAACACGGUUUCUGCCUUGCAUUUAAGGUUUGACCCUGGGGGAUAAUUGUGACUUGUGAAUACAAACUUAUCUAAAAAUAGUUAGAAAUAGUGCAAUAUUGUGCAACUACAGUUGUUUUUUUAGGUUAAUGGUUAUAAGACAGACUUCUUUAAAAUGCUUAAAUAUUUAUCCCUUUUGGUGAGACGCGAUACCUUGAGCUCAGGCGAGUUUUUUUAUGGAGACUCAUGGGUUUAAACUCUACUGAAAGGGCAUGUGUAACUCACACGAGUGGGGCAAAAUAGUGGUAUUGCCCACGAGAAGAAAACUUAGCUGGAAGAAACCCGAUCCUCCAUAUGGACUAGUGGAUGUGUUAGCAAAUUCGCUUUCAGACCAGCUUUCAUGUUGGCUCCACCAGAGGGUACAGAGGGAACGGCAAAUUAAUUAUAGAAAUGAAGCCAACCUCCUUUUCUUAUCACGGAGGGCAGCUGUGUGUUUUCCCCUCACUUGUUUCCCUUUUUCUCUCUCUACAGUGCCAGAAUGUUUCCUGCUCGACACCUACUCUCUGCUUCUCCUCAUCAAUCCAUACAAACUUGCUCAGGAGAAAGAUUUGUUCAUGAGGGAGGAGAAAAGUGGAGCCUUUAUUGAGUGGAAAUGUCAUAGAAAUGGUUGCAGACUAGCAGAGGAAGAACGAGACUCUGUCUUGCCUCCAAACUUAUUUCAUAGCUUUGAGACCCUUCCUCUCAAAGUUGACUAAUGGAUCAAUAUUUCAAGUGGGAUCUGGUGUAUUAAUGACAUUGUUCUCCUUGCCGUAAAAGUGUGUUAUCAACCAGCUGAACGCGAGUCUCAAUGACAGGCUACAUGGUCCUGAUCAGUGUCUUUGUUUUUUUGAAAACCAUUUUCAGAUUUGAAACGUCUCAAAAAUGUCAUGUGGGACCGACUCCAGCAAAUGAGAAGAGCAUGACCGUAAAAAAACAGACACUAUGGCACACUCACCUUACCUGUCGAACCAUGGCCAAAGGUCUUUCUUUGGAAUAAUGGGUAAGAUCGACAAUGAAUGCAUGGACUAUUAAUGGUGAGUUGCUGCCAGCCUCCACCUAAGCUUUUAAUCGUAUUAUGACAAAUAGAGUAGACAUCAUUCUAUGUGUAAUAGGGCUCUUUUAAACAACUGUCGUCAGACCCUCACAUCAUAAUAACCACUGUGAGUUUUAUGACAGACCUAGAACUAGUUAAACAGACGAAUAUGAUGCACUGUUUUAGCACACAUAUACAUCAUAUUAAUAUAUAUAUAUA
ensembl:lncRNA